rnacentral:rRNA from 1 species
CCUACGGGGGGCUGCAGUGGGGAAUAUUGGACAAUGGGGGCAACCCUGAUCCAGCCAUGCCGCGUGUGUGAAGAAGGCCCUCGGGUUGUAAAGCACUUUCAGUGAGGAAGAACGCCUGGUGGUUAAUACCCAUCAGGAAAGACAUCACUCACAGAAGAAGCACCGGCUAACUCCGUGCCAGCAGCCGCGGUAAUACGGAGGGUGCGAGCGUUAAUCGGAAUUACUGGGCGUAAAGCGCGCGUAGGUGGCUUGAUAAGCCGGUUGUGAAAGCCCCGGGCUCAACCUGGGAACGGCAUCCGGAACUGUCAAGCUAGAGUGCAGGAGAGGAAGGUAGAAUUGCCGGUGUAGCGGUGAAAUGCGUAGAGAUCGGGCGGAAUACCAGUGGCGAAGGCGGCCUUCUGGACUGACACUGACACUGAGGUGCGAAAGCGUGGGUAGCAAACAGGAUUAGAUACCCUAGUAGUC